AACCCAUGAUGAGGACACUUGCAUAGAAGAUCCUUAAACCGUUCAUGUGCCUCAAAAAGUGUUUCAGAGUCCCCUCGCUUGAAGAAUAAAAUCUCUUGUCUCAGUCU